ACUGCGACAGACUAUGAAGACCGACAACUGACUAGCAUCAACAUGGGCCGUGUCGUCAGUGCAUGCGUUGCUGGUAUUUCAGGAAUGAAAUAAACGAACGACGGCGCCCGCAGUCACGAACUUGAAGGUCGCCUAGUAUACGGCCAAAGACCAUCCGAAAUGGUACGAUACGUUUUAAACGGAUAACAGUUAGGAAAAUCCCGAAACAGAAUUAACAAUAUUGACAUACAUCUACAAAUAAGAAUGACAAUAUUCUGAAUCCUUAGGAGAGUCUUGCUUGAUGAGAGACAACUAGUUAGCACAUGCAAACGUUAAAGAGUUGUACACACCGAAACGAAGCAGACAAACGUUGGAAAAACGAUAUUGAACUGGAUGGAGAAGAGAAGCACUUUGAGUCCGAAAAGUGGGCCGUUCAACAGACUAACGAUGACAGCAAAGAUUAGAAAUGGGCCAAGAAAACGUGGGGUUAAAAGUCUGUUGAGACAUCGAUUCAAAACGGACACUAGGGAGGAGGAAACCCGUUUAUUCUGACGAGGCGCUUUCAUCGGCUUUGUCACUAGAAAAGAUUUUCUAGUCGUCAUUUCAUCGUCGGCCAGUCUAUCCAUUAAGGCUAGGGAAACUAGAGAUGUAACCAGAAAGAGCCAAACGAGUUGUUCGCUUGUCAAAAAAACUGGCAUUUUGCUGCCCGAUGGAAAUGGACUUGCACUUUGGUUCGGUCGCUUUCACCGCAUUCAGACGACAGAAACAAUAAUGAAAAAGAGUCCUGCUCGUCCACGGUUACAGUGAUUAAACAAAAAACAAACAAGUAGUGUCAAUAACGUUCAGCUCCUUCCCGGGCCAAUCGCUUAGCAGCUGACGAUCCAUCGUCGUAUAUUCCGGGGCCUUUGAGGUACUUCCAUUCUACAUCCAUCUCUUCCAAAGUAAAUAGAAGUUCACGCCAUAAUUUCCGAUGUUUUAUUAAAUUUCCAGUCGUCUUCCUCCAGCCGUUAUCCAUCCAGUAAAAGAUGAGAUUUUCAUUUACGUUGCGGAGGUAUUUGGAUUCUGUAUGGAUGGCCAUCCGGCCGAUUCCCCACGCCUUAGCAAUUUUAAUCGCUUCGAUGGCUGCUCGGAUUUCUGCAGCACUUUUAGAAGUAUCAUCUCGGUCAUCUAACGGCUCACUCACAUUUCUGCCUGAGCAUCUGGAUGCCCUUGCUGAAGACAGAUGCCGUCAGUGUAAACGCGAACGAAUCCGUUUCGAUUGAUACUGAAAUUGUGAAUCAAUUUCUCUGGAACGGCUGGCGGGUUGACGUAACGGGCCGAUCCGAUUCGCAUGAGGUCGACAAUCCAUUCAGCGUUUUGCGCAGCUUCACACAAAUCGUGCCAGGAGACAUCUUCAUCGAUGAUGUGCUCAAACAGGUAGGACGAAUGCAAUUCUCUCCAAACGGAUCGUUGCAUUCCUCGCACAAGGACAUCUUUUUUCACACCACGACGGAACAAAUUGUAAUCUGGAUCGGGAACGUCACGACAUCCAUAGGCUUCCAUGAAGGCUGCAUCAAUACGACGGGUAAAAUUGCGGAUGCGCUCUGUCCUUCCCUGUUUCAUCUUCUUCAGUUGAUGAUGAUGAUAGUACAUUUUGUUCUCUAUCGACGAAGUAUCCGUCGAUGCGUACAUUUUCGAACCUAAAUGCAAUUUUAAUGGACUUCACUGGAAAUAUUCUUGAAUGAUGUGAAACAAGUGAACGGUUUGCCCGUCAGCGAUUGACUAGCGUUCUUCUCGACUCAACAGCGGCCUGUUAUGGGAGAAAACGGAGAAAGGACAAAUCUUGUGGAUACUAUAACAACGGGAAAGUAGAGCAAAGAGUACAUUUUUAUUAAAUAAAAACAAGCUAUUGCGACGAUUUCUUUCACAAAGCAGAGCCAACCGGUUUGUGUCCCUUAUAGAUUAUCAAACUGUAAGUAACCUGCAAAUGCAAAGCGUGGGACUUAUAUCGAUUGGAGACAAUAACAAUUUAGCAAGAAGAAAAUUGAGGGGAUUGAGCGUGAAUACAUUUUAAUGUGUUUGCAUAUUGGGGAUCAAAAAAAAAUUUGGCGAUCUUUCUGCGCCGUCGCCUUUAAUUGCCCGGUCGAUAUCACAUUGGCGAACUCGGUAAACGAAUGUGAAGACGAGACCAAAGAGCAGAGCUUCAGCUAGGUAAUUGACAAGUGAGUUAGGCUGACAUAUUGCAACCGGUUGGAUCGACCUACUUUGUUUCAUAUGAACGGGUGAAACAGCCGGUGGCGAACAUGGGAUGUAAUCAGUAUAAUCCACUAGCAAUCCCAGCACAAAGAAUUGGAGCUUCAUGAUAGCGAUGAAUAGAGUCAAAGCGUGGGCUUUUUUCUACACGACCGUAAAACAUGAGUUAUAGUAAAUAAUGAUAUAAACACAGUAGGUACGUAGAAAGAGAAAAUGGGGAAAGGUUACCAUGCGACGAUUCCAAUUUGAUCUCUCUAAUCCUUUAAACGUCUUGACGAUAACGUUAAAACCCCAGUUGCCCAACAUACACAUUAGGACGUUCAGGCCAGCCAGGGUUUGAAACAGAGGCAUCACGAUAUACUGCAUUCAAAAAUUUAAAAGAUUUGUGUUCUGAACAUGGAAUAUUUGACUUAAAAAAUUUACCUCGGGAAGAAACUGAUUAAUUUCAGCUAUUUCCAAAACGACAGCAGCCAUCGUUAGCAGAAAUUGCCACAAUGGUGCCUGGUACACUCUUCUUCUCAUAGCUCGGAAUCCUCGUCUAUCAAGAAAGCAGAUCCCAAAGAAACAGCAAGGUGAUGCGCAAAGAGACAUGGGAACUCGGUUGUCCAUCAGUGUGUUAAGAAUUUGCUCUUCGUCACCGUCAAUCAUUAGUGCCAGAUCGAGAAAGUGCAUCAACAUGAACGGCAUAUACCUGAAAACAUCAAGAUUUCCAGCCCGUGGAACGAGAAACGACGUUAAGGAGAGCCAAGAUAUUAUCAUAGGCAUGGAAACUAACAACCAUAGAAAAUCAGUUAGUAACAAAAAAAAAAUGAUGAGCCAAGAAUUUUACCAAUCCAGCUGAGAGAACGUUGCCAUUCCCACGGACAUUUCCUGACGUUACUGCAAAUUUGGAUGAAGAAAAGAAGCGUUAACAGUCCAGAACUGGCAGUGCCUCCAUAAGCGAUACCCAGGCCAAUGAUACCGAAGGCUGUGACAAACGAGAUAUGCACGAUCCCAAUGAUAAACAGCACUAGAAAAACAUUUUAAUUGUUACCGUCAAAGUGUUGCGAAACAUCGGGUGGAUCGCUGUCAAAGUCGUAUCGACUGCAGUUGAAUUCUAGCAUAACAUCUUGUGACAAAUUCAUGAUGGAGCGACACCAAUCACAACAGUUUUGCCGGCCAGACUAAAAGUGCCGCACCCACAGGUGUAAGAGCGGCCGCGUCUAGUACCUGAAGUUGUUAUCUCAACAUCACUAGGCCAUUGUAUUACUUCAUAUCCGACCGCUGAUUAGGAACAUCCAGCAAUCGACCCUACUGAUAAAACACAAUAAAGGCAUUGUCCGGUUUUUGUGGGGUUGUUAACAAACUAGAUAGCAUUUCUUAAAGAAGUUCUAAUGUCAAAGACAUGUUAUUGUUAUUGGCAAACGUCUAGCUGUCAUCAUGCAAAGCAAGAUGUCGUAAAAACCGUUACGUACCUGUAAAGCAGAAACUGGAACUACUAGGCAUAGUCGUGAUCCGGCCCGAAAACGUUGUGUUCCAGUAAAGCCAAGAUUUAUCAUGGCCAAGAUUAUCUUGGCAUUUCUUACGCCGUGCAAAAGCCAGUCUAGUUGUAUAGCUGUCAGCGUGUAAUCAUUCCUGUUUACGUCUCCUCACGAAUCUCAGAAGUCUCACUGGCGAAGGACGAGAUUGGCGAAGUUUCAGAGUUAGCUCAAUUUAAAAGUCCAUAGUGAGUCGUAAGAUUCUUUGAACGAAAGAGAAAGUUUGUUUCGCGUUCUUGAGUUUUUGUAAUUCUCAGAAAAGGUCUUGCUCAU